rnacentral:lncRNA from 1 species
CGGAACUGGCUGUUGGUGGGGGUGCAGCACUGAGCCGCCGACGGGGCGGGUGGGCUUUGCUGCCGAGCAGGCGGCGCCGUCUUGGGGCCUAGCGGCGAGGCGACCCGCACAGUACUGUAAGAUUGAUGUUAAAGGCAUGGUGUUCACCCCACUUCAUCAGCGUACAUAAGUUAUCUCUUCUUUUGGACCCUUAUUUUAUGCCAUAAUGCAACAAGCUUUAGAACUAGCUUUGGAUCGUGCAGAGUAUGUCAUUGAAAGUGCCCGACAGAGACCUCCUAAAAGGAAAUACCUAUCAAGUGGAAGAAAAUCUGUAUUUCAAAAACUUUAUGACUUGUAUAUUGAAGAAUGUGAAAAAGAACCUGAAGUUAAGCAGAAAUUAAGAAGAAAUGUGAACUUGUUAGAGAAGCUUGUUAUGCAAGAGACUUUGUCAUGUUUAGUGGUCAAUCUAUACCCAGGAAAUGAGGGAUAUUCUCUGAUGCUCAGGGGAAAAAACGGAUCAGAUUCCGAGACCAUUCGACUGCCCUAUGAAGAAGGAGAGUUGCUUGAAUAUUUGGAUGCAGAAGAAUUACCUCCUAUUUUGGUUGAUCUCCUAGAAAAAUCUCAGGUUAAUAUUUUUCAUUGCGGAUGUGUCAUAGCAGAAAUACGUGACUACAGGCAGUCCAGUAACAUGAAAUCUCCUGGUUACCAAAGUCGGCACAUUCUCUUACGUCCAACAAUGCAGACUUUAAUUUGUGAUGUACAUUCAAUAACAAGUGAUAACCACAAAUGGACCCAGGAAGACAAACUUUUGCUUGAGAGCCAGCUCAUCCUAGCUACAGCUGAACCACUCUGUCUUGAUCCUUCUAUAGCAGUCACCUGCACUGCAAACAGACUGCUCUAUAACAAGCAAAAGAUGAACACUCGCCCAAUGAAACGGUGUUUCAAGAGGUAUUCCAGAUCCUCUCUGAAUCGGCAGCAAGAUCUAUCUCAUUGUCCACCUCCUCCUCAGCUGAG